UCCGACGGCGCCGAUGUCAUUCUGGUGGUAGUCGACCGUCUCUCCAAGUACGCGCAUUUCAUUCCUCUCCAUCACCCCUUCACUGCAACUCAGGUGGCCCGCGCUUUCCUCGACAAUAUUGUCAAGCUUCAUGGGGUCCCUCUCUCGAUCGUCUCUGAUCGCGACAAGAUCUUCACAAGCGCAUUCUGGCGUGAGCUUUUUGCACUGGUGGGCACGAAACUGCUCUACACCACAACAUACCAUCCUCAGACGGACGGGCAGAGUGAAAGGGUGAAUCAGUGCCUUGAGCACUAUUUGCGUUGUGCCGUCCACGACACUCCUCACCGCUGGAAGCGCUGGCUGCCAAUGGCAGAGUUCUGGUAUAAUUCAAGCCAUCAUAGUGCCAUCAACUGUUCUCCAUUCAAGGCUCUGUAUGGAGUGGAACCAAAUUUUGGUGCUCUUCCCAACCUAUUCAACACCAAGACACCAGAAUCGCUGCAUCAGCUGGCGGCAGAACACCAACAGUUCACCGAGAUGCUAAAAACAAAUCUGCUGCGUGCACAACAUCGAAUGAAACAUCAAGCGGACCGCAAGCGCACCAACAGGGAAUUUCAAGUAGGAGAUCAGGUCUUGCUCAAGCUGCAACCCUAUGUUCAGUCUUCCGUGGUGAGCAGACCAUGUCCAAAGCUUGCGUACAAAUUCUUUGGGCCGUACAAGGUCAUCAGCCGUGUCGGAUCCCUAGCAUACAAGCUCGACUUGCCUCACGAAAGUAGGAUUCAUCCGGUAUUUCACAUUUCUCAAUUGAAGCCAUUCACA
rnacentral:rRNA from 1 species